AGUAAGCUAAUCUCUUAAAGCGUCUCAGUUCGGACUGUAGGCUGCAACUCGCCUACACGAAGUCGGAAUCGCUAGUAAUCGCGGAUCAGCAUGCCGCGGUGAAUACGUUCCCGGGCCUUGUACACACCGCCCGUCACACCAUGGGAGUUUGUAACGCCCAAAGUCGGUGGCCUAACCUUUAUGGAGGGAGCCGCCUAAGGCGGGACAGAUGACUGGGGUGAAGUCGUAACAAGGUAUC
rnacentral:rRNA from 1 species